GGCCAGUCACAGGUGGAACCAGUUGCCACUAAUUACCGAGUGGCAGCUCUCUGCCAGGUCGCUAUGGGGAAAGUAGCUGGUAUUUUGCAGGUCACUAUGGGGGUAAGAAUCUGAUAUUUAACAGGUCUGUAUGGGGUAAGUAUCUGAUAUAUUUAACCGGUCACUAUGGAGUAAGUAUCUGAUAUAUUUAACAGGUUAGUAUGGGGGUUAGUAUUUCAUAUUUAGCAGGUCAGUAUGGGGUAAGUAUCUAAUAUAUUUAAAGAGUCACUAUGGAGUAAGUGUCUGAUAUUUAACAGGUCAGUAUUGUUGUAAAUAUCUGAUACUUAACAGGUCAGUAUGGGGGCAUGUAUCUGACUUUUAUGGGGUAAGUGUCUGGUAUUUAAGAAGUAGGUAUCGGUUUAACCUCCUUGUUCUAAACCUGCAAUUAUUUAGCUUGAUUGCAACACUUUUGUCUGUUUCUACACCAAUCUGGCUUUGUACUGGUUGGUCAUUUGCUGGAAAUUGGACUUGCCAAGACUGCACAAAAUAUGUGUUUUAUGUGUGGAAUAUGUUACAGCAUUGUGAGGUGUAUGCCAUCUAAGGGGUCAAGUCCCCUUUUCAAGCAGUAUUCAAGCUUUUUGAUGUACCAGCAUGGACCGCAAGGGAAAGAGUUGAGAAACAGUCUAUAUUUUUGUUACCAAUUUGGAUGUAACUGCUUAUGAGCAAAAAUAAAAGUUGCCUGUCUGAAAUUGCCAAGACCGUAAGAGGUUGCUAUCAGCGAUCAGCAAAUGAUCCCUUUUUCUGGGGCUACAAAUCUUCACUCGUAUGUUCCAGGCAAACCAUGCCCAUUUUGUUUUAAAAAUUACAUUCAUGCUAUACUCUGUCAAUGUAUUGUUUGUUUUUAAUUUAUCAGGGUGUAAGAACAUGGCCUUUAUGCAGUCAAAAAAACUAAUCAUUGGAUUAACAGUUUAACUGAAGGCAGGAUUUCCAACCAAUAAAUAUGUAUAUCCCCAACUCAUAAAAAAACUGAGUCAUGCCAUGAUAUGUAGACCUAAUUGAGUUGGUCCAACUUAAUUUGA
ensembl:lncRNA